AAAAAUCUCUAAAUGUGAGCUGACAAUGAUUGUUCCAUGUACUGAUGUACAGAUCUAACAUCACCCCAACAUCCCAGGGAGUUUUUUUUUUUUAAAUUUCUUGCUUGUUCUUUUGUUGAAUUGCACCCACAAAUUGUUGUGUAGACUGAGGAAACAGAUUGGUUCACAAAGUGUUUAUGUUAAUGUCACGGAGAAUAUAUGUUUGUGUUGGUAUUGAGGAUAUAUGUUUGUGUUGGUAUUGAGGUUGUGGCUGAUUACUUGGGGUGAGAGUUUGGCCAAAGUGCGUGUGUUUGAUAUUUAUGAGCUCAAGUAAUGUGAUGUCAAGAACUCGGGUGCAAAACAUAGGCAUGCUUUGUAUUGGAAUGUGAAUCGGUAACUUGCGUCUUAGUUGUUCAAGACUUUUGCAGAGUUAUUUUUGUAUUUAUGUUAAUGACUUUUGGUUUCGGGUGUGAGAUCUGAGGUGACAUACAUCAUAUUGAGAUAUCUGGUGUGAAAAGACACGAUGCUGGCGUUUUAAGUUAUGCAUACGUGUAGUUGACAAAAUUUGUGCCUUGUCUUGCUGGACCUGCCAUGGUGACCUUCGUAGGCGCAAGCUCUUAGGAUUGUGCUCUGGUAUUUCCUAUUUCUAUUAGAUGAUGCUCUUUGUAUGCUUGUUUUCAAGCAUCAAUGCAUACCUAUUUUAUGUAAUAAUGAAUGAUUUAACUAUUUCUGAUUCGUCCGUUCUUGGUAAUUUUGCUUUUCAUGAUCACUUCCUAUGAGUUCUAACUCAGUACUAAUGUAUAUAGGAUUCAAUUCUUUCUUGGCUCCAAUUUCACCGUUUUUUGAGCAAGGACAGGAUCCUCAGCUCAAGUCAAGAUAUCUAGGAAGCAUUGGAGGCAAGCUUUUGCAGUCAAUCGAAAGCAAAAUUAUGCAUGAUGUACCAAAUGUAGCAGAAAAGUUCCUUGAACUUUGUUGCUUUGAACAUCUAUAGUAACAUAUGUCUUCUCAAUUUGAACUUUGUUUUUCUGACGAAUUCUCCCAAACAUGAUCAACUGGUUAAGUAGCGAGAUGGUCUCGUUCUAUCACGAAAUACUAUAUGUAAUAUGCUUUACAGAGGCUUUAUACAUACAUGAAGAUUCUGAUAUAUAUUGCUCCUAUAUAGUAACAUAUUGUCUACUCAAUUUGAACUUUGUUUUUAUGUUCGACUGAUUCAGUAUGAGUUUCUUCGAUUGUUUCUUGCUUACUGGUUUCAUUGUAGCAGAGGUUAAACGAAGAAAGAGACACAGAAGGAAGCACGUCAAAAACCAAGAACCCUGCAUCAUGAGGGGUGUUUAUUUCAAGAACUUGAAAUGGCAAGUUGCCAUUAAAGUUGACAAGAAACAGAUCCAUUUAGGAACUGUAGGCCGCCACAAAGAUAGAAUCAUCAUGUACAGAUAGAGGGAACCAGCUUGGAAACCGUCCCUGGUUUGUCAAACAUAUCUGCUGCUUCGAGUGCAUCACUUCAGCAUUUUCCUGGUCUGUUUUCAUUCUUCGUACCUCCAUUCUCGGUCUGGUCAAGCACUCCUAUCAGCUUUGGUUCGAGUAGAAUUAUCUCUAUUUUUGCAGACUGUCUAUGGCAUCCAUUUAUGUAGAUUUGAGUAUUAGUUUCAUUUUGUAGCUAAUUAAUACAGCUGUAGAUGAUUGUAUUAUGCUUAAAUCAACAGCAUACCUUCAUCCGUGAUUUCAAGCCUCUGAAAGUCAAACAAUGAAUGUGUCGGUCCCAGUGUUGUUAGGGUCGCGGGUCGGUCCGCCUGCGCUUCAGCCGCCCCAACCGCCCCGGCUCGCUCCAACCCGCCCCAGUCUCGCCCCAGCCCGCCCCAUGAAUAUCGUUCGGCCCAGGGUGGCUGGGGCGACUACAGCCGCGCCCUGACCGCCCCACGCCCCAAGCGCGCCCCAAGCGCGAUUUUCAUAACACUGGUCGGUCCACGAAUAAAAAGUUAUCAAACAUCCUUAAUUUCCUCAUAUGUUUUAAUUGGCCCGCUCAUAGCCCACGGUGAAUAGGAGUAAUGUGAUGUCAAGAACAUAGCCAUGCUCUGUAUUGGCAUGAGAAUCGAGGUUAAACGAAGAAAGAGACACAAAAGGAAGCACGUCGAAAACCAAGAACCAUGCAUCAUGAGAGGCGUCUAUUUCAAGAAUUUGAAAUGGCAAGCUGCCAUUAAAGUUGACAAGAAACAGAUCCAUUUAGGAACUGUAGGCUCUCAAGAAGAGGCUACUCGACUGUAUGACAGGUAUUGUAAACAUCUCUCUUCCCAUAGUCGAUGGAUCACACUUUCUCAAGUUAGAAACCCUCUAAAACACAUUCAAUAUAUAAACCAUAUUUGGGAACAUUUGUGUGGCAAAUAUUGCUCGACAUUUCAUUCACCUCUUAAGAAUGUGCUGGGCCGCAUUCAUGUGUUGAAGAGAGCCCAACUUUGAACUAUCCGAGGUGGAAAAGCAGGACGGGCUUUGCCAUCACCUACAAGAGAAACCAGCCAGAGAUGUAGCGAGACUGGGCCGCAGAGGAAGCUUCUAGACAACGACUGGGAGGGUGAGGAGCAAGGAUGCAGCGGUCCAUAUGCUUCUGAAGAUGAAUGCAGCGGUCCAUAUGCUUCUGAAGAUGCUACGUCAGCUCCAUAUCCUAUCGAUCACCUUCUUUGCCACUUUUUUUUCCUUCUUUUUCUUAUAUGUAUAUACAUAUAUUGUCUUAAGGCUAAAGAGUUUAUUCGUUUCUUGGUAUAUAAGCUCCCCUAUUAGGGCAGAUUCUGCAAGGAAAAGGUACAACAUUUUGACGUAACAUCUUCAUUGUUUAUCAUCUCUCUUGUUUGAGAAAUAUUAGUUUUAUUGCACAAUUUAAGGUAGCAUGAACAUGUACAAAAAUGUUCAUGAUCUUGAAUUUCACGGAGUUGUUUGUGUAUUUAUGUUAAGGACUUAGGUUUCGGGUGUGAGAACUGAGAUCUGAGGUGCUAUACAUCAUGUUGAGAUAUCUAGUGUGGAAAUGCACGAUGCUGGCGUUUUGAGCUAUGCAUACGUGUAGUUGACUAACAUUGUGCCUCAUCUUGUAGGACCUGCCAUUGUGAGCCUUUGAAGGCGCAAGCCCUUAGGAUUGUGCUCUGUUCUUUCUUGGCUCCAAUUUCACCGAUUUUUGAGCAAGGACAGGAUCCUCAGAAUUCUGAAAACACUAAACUAGUGAGUGUUCAUCCUCUGCCUUUGAAUGAUAGUCUCAAACCAAAAGAAAGCCCUGUACCAAUGAACUCAUUAGUCCAGACAAUCCAAAUCGAAUGUGAAAGAAGAUGAGACGAAUCCAAAUUGCCAGAGAUCCUGAAUGGCACAAGACACUGCAUGGAGUGAAUUGAAAAUCCGGAUAGCCAUUUAAUGUUUGACUUGUCCAACAGUAUAUUAUUUCUUACUACAAUUGAGAUAGAUCAUGAGGUUGUA